AAAUGGGCAAUGAUAAAGAAGAGUAAAUGCAGUUCCUUCUAUAAUAGAGAGUCUGUGGUUGGUGUAAACAGAUGGAGUGCUGCAUUGAAUGGACUUUGGAGCUGAAUUGGCGAAUGUAUAGUAGUCAAUUCCGUGUUCUUCACGUUAAGAAGAAGAGUGGCCGGGAACGGCAACUAGGGUGGUACCGCGGAAACACAUCAUUCGUCCCUUUU
rnacentral:ncRNA from 1 species